ACACACACAGACUUGGAAAGACCUACAAAUUAAGAGGUACCCAGAGGGAAUAACUUAGAGACUGUAGAUAUGAUCCAGUGGAUCAGCCAGGCAAGAGGACUGGCUGCCAGUAAUUCCAGAACCCGGGACGUAAAGAUCCCCUUGGCAAGUUGGCUAGUGAGACUAGCCAGAAUUGGAGACCUUUAGGGUUAAAGAGAGACCCUGCCUCCGAGAUAUAUAGCCCUCGCUGUCAGUGUCAAGCAAUUAAGUGUUUUCUAGCAGAAAACAUAUUAAGCUCUUAUGAAGAAUUCUUCAGGCUUCCUUGGGUCCAGUUUGUUACUGAAGAGGAGCCAUGUUAAGACUUCACGACCCUCCUUGUAUUCCUGGUUCCUACCCCUGCCCAACACCUUGACUCCAGCAAUUCGUUAUGGAUGGACAUCGUCUUCAUAGGGGACAGCCUUCCUGGCAACACCCCUUGCAGGGGUCCUCUGAACAUCACUGGGUUCCAGGAUCUGAUUCGCUAUUUUCUCUGCUUGGGAUGCUCUCAUCCCAGUCUUUACAUACAAUGAUUUGGGCAUCUUCAGAGAUGAAGAAGAAACUAGAGUUCUGGCUUCAGAAGGAGACUCUGCCUCAAUAUACAAAGGGAAGAGCCAUUGAAGAAUUCACCCAUUAUCGCUCUCUGGUUUCUACAUCCACAGUGCUCCCCAUACAUUAAAAAAAAAAAACAAAAUAGAAUAAAUUACCUUUUACUGUGA
rnacentral:lncRNA from 1 species